GGCAAUUUGGGAAAUGGAAUCUUUAUGUUGCUGGGUAUUUUCUCCUUCCACACCUCCUUCUCCUUGCUGGACAGGAGGGGAGGGCAGAAGACGUGUUUGUGGCCACAUUCCCGGUGUGGCCCGCCUGGACAGGAGCCAGGGUGCACACUGACCUGCACAGCCUCUGGCCUCUGUCCCUGGGCCUGAGAGGCAGGAGCAAGGGGCCUGUCCUCACUCUGAAUCCAACUGCUGGUGACUCAGGGCACCCUGCUGGACCCUCCAGGAGAAGUUGGGGCCCACGUUUCUAGGCUGCCCACUCAUCCAAACCUCCCUCCAUGUCCCUGACCAAAGCAUUUCGCAGAUCUGGGUCCUCUGGUGUGUGAGGCUCCUCCCAGCCCAUGAGCAUUGGAAAAUGUCUACAAGAUCUUUGCCAUUUUAGGUUCUACCGAGGCUAAAGAAUGUAUGUUUCCUCUGCUUAGACUUAAGUUUUUGAGUAACUUUAUAGACACUUUGGCAUUUUGGCUGAAAGGGCAUGUGCAGUAACUGAAUAUGACUUGUGCACUGUUUCAGUGCCAGUGGGUCACAUGCAGGGGAGUCAGAGCCAAGGUGGAUGAGGCUGGGAUAUCUACAUGCUUGGUGGGGAGUUGGAGUCAGGGUGGAUGAGGCUGGGAUAUCUACAUGCUUGGUGGGGAGUCGGAGCCAGGGUGGAUGAGGCUGGGAUAUCUACAUGCUUGGUGGGGAGUCGGAGUCAGGGUGGAUGAGGCUGGGAUAUCUACAUGCUUGGUGGGGAGUCGGAGCCAGGGUGGAUGAGGCUGGGAUAUCUACAUGCUUGGUGGGGAGUCGGAGUCAGGGUGGUUGAGGCUGGGAUAUCUACAUGCUUGGUGGGGAGUCGGAGUCAGGGUGGUUGAGGCUGGGAUAUCUACAUGCUUGGUGGGGAGUUGGAGUCAGGGUGGAUGAGGCUGGGAUAUCUACAUGCUUGGUGGGGAGUCGGAGCCAGGGUGGAUGAGGCUGGGAUAUCUACAUGUUUGGUGGGGAGUUGGAGUCAGGGUGGAUGAGGCUGGGAUAUCUACAUGCUUGGUGGGGAGUCGGAGUCAGGGUGGUUGAGGCUGGGAUAUCUACAUGCUUGGUGGGGAGUCGGAGCCAAGGUGGAUGAGGCUGGGAUAUCUACAUGCUUGGUGGGGAGUUGGAGCCAAGGUGGAUGAGGCUGGGAUAUCUACAUGCUUGGUGGGGAGUUGGAGUCAGGGUGGUUGAGGCUGGGAUAUCUACAUGCUUGGUGGGGAGUUGGAGUCAGGGUGGAUGAGGCUGGGAUAUCUACAUGCUUGGUGGGGAGUUGGAGUCAGGGUGGUUGAGGCUGGGAUAUCUACAUGCUUGUUGGGGAAGAGGAGCCAAAGAUGUGGAUUUCCUCUGUCUCCACAUCCUUGGGCAAGGACUGGUGAUCAGCUGCUGCUGUCUUAUUUUAUUUGCUUCUCCAGUAAAUGAACUUUAUAUAGUUGGUAGCUUGGCGUUUUCCAUUUUGCAUUACUGAAAUUUCAAUAAAUAGUGCUUUAGUUAGAUGUAAAUCUCUGUCAUUUGUGGCAGAGGAACUUAAAUGUCGGCCUGCAUUUUAGGGCACCUUUUUGUAUAGAGCAGAGAGAAGGGAAGUGCUGUCCCCCAGUGGCCUGGACCAGGCGGAGCCCAGCCUGUUGAUGAUGCAUUGUGUGUGCUUGGCAUGUGUGACGUGGCAAGGGAUUCAUGUUCUCUGUGGGCAGCUGCCUGAGUAGUAGACAUGUGAGGCCCCUUCCCGGGCAUUUUGUCCUGUCCUCAGGACAUGAAGAAAGCAGCUAGGCAAAGGCACUCUUUGCAGCUUUAAAUGGCCUAGAGUUACCCCCAGAAAAACAAUUCUACUUCUGUUCCACUUCUGUCCAAUUAAAACAAGUUUGUUCAUUUUAUUUUAGGAGCAAUUUGCCAUUGUUUUUGUGCAUUCGGCAGUUGUUUAUUUGCUGCUUGCAGUUGUGGUUGUUCGUGGUAUCAUUCACGAAUACAAUUUUGAACGAGGAAGAGCUGUGAUGACAAAUGCACUAAGAGACACCACUGUGGCUCUCCACAAAUUAGCCAGAACAUAAGGGUGGGAGGAGCCUGUCUUUCCCUGGCAGCACAGGGCUGCCUGGUCUUAAGAAGUCUGUAGUUGAGAACACAGCAUGUGGUUACAUGUAUACAUUAUUUGAAGGUGCACAAAGCAAAGGGAAGCCAACCACAAAAUGCCAGUUGUGCUAGUAGCAUGUGCUUCUUUAUGAAUGAAAGAACAUACGCAUUUUUGGUAUUAAUUAUUUAUAUAUUUUAUACAUGAAAUCUCAUUUGACAGGUUCCCUGUGACUCCACUGGGGAAUUCAGGGUGGGAGAGGUAGUGCCCCCAUCUUCAUAAGAGGGAGCAGACUUAGAGACAUAGCUGUAGAGAUUACACAGCUGGUAAGAAGUGGUUCCUAGAUGCUAGCCCUGGGGACCCGGCUCUGGUGUGGCGACAGCGCCUUUCACACCUGUAUCCUGAGAGUCGUGGGAAUGGCAUGUAGUUUAAAGUACAGAGAUGGGGGCAUGGAGUCAUUCCUAGGCUCCCAGGGAAGAGCAGGAUGUUUUUGAUAUGGCCGAUUAGGAAGAAUGGGCACUUUGAUCUCUGCAAAGAGAGCCUGCGCUUCAGUGACUAAGUAGGAUUUGACCCUUCAACCUUGACUCUAGUAGAUGGCUCAGUUAAAGGCUACGUGGUGAUUCUUAGGAGGCUUUUAAAUUAGAUAGAUGGAUUUGUCCCUGGAGAGACAAAGCUGAAAUCCUAUAUCACAUAGAUGUUAUAGACCGAGGAGGGGGGAUUUACCUACAGUUAUUUAAGCUUUUAAAGUAGAAAAAAGGUCCAGUUGAAAUGAUAUAUAACAACAGGCUAUCUGGAGAUGGAUAUAUUGUGAAUAAAUAAUUAUUCUACAUUCUCUUAAUUUGGCAGCAAAAAUAUAAUUAGGUUUUAUAAUUUCUGAUAUAAACAAUAUAAACAUUGUUAUGGUGUACAUAAAAUUUUUUUAGAUUAGUAAGAAAACCAUACGUAUAAACAUGUGUUAAGUCUGAGGAAAGAAUUACGUCGUUCAUUGGCUAUUUGCGAUUUUAAUGCACCUUAUAUCACUUGGCCCAAAUACUCUUAGGGCAGAAGCAUAAUGCUUACAUUCACAUUCUCAAAUGACCCAAGAAAGAGAAAAGAUUUGGACCCUUAAUGAGUUGUAGAUCUCAUAUAUAAACCUUUACUUCUGUUAAAGGAAGAAUGCUAGUGUAGGAUGUAUUUAGCAAUGAUUAGAUUUAUUGAGCACUUUUGUGUUAUGCAUGAAAAAUCAAAUAGAAUAGCGGUAGCUAAGAGAAAUUCAUUCCAAAAGUGUGCUGGCUUCAUAAAUGAUUUUGUGAUGUGUGUCCUCUUUUUCAGUAGGGUCUGUAACAGGAUAGUGUGGUUUUUAGUAGAUAGUAUUGCAUUUCUAAAGUACGUAAGCUUGCAGAUAAUUUUCAAAGGGAUAUCAAUUAGUUUCCCAGUAUAACACACA
rnacentral:lncRNA from 10 species